GUUGUAUGGUUAAGUGACUAAGCGUACAUGGUGGAUGCCUUGGCAGUCAGAGGCGAUGAAGGACGUACUAACCUGCGAUAAGCCGUGAGCAGUCGGUAAGAGACAUUACGACUCACGGAUUUCCGAAUGGGGAAACCCACUUAGCAUAAGCUAGGUAUCGCUACGUGAAUACAUAGCGUAGCGAGGCGAACCGGGAGAACUGAAACAUCUAAGUAC
rnacentral:rRNA from 1 species